rnacentral:rRNA from 1 species
AUUGAACGCUGGCGGCAGGCUUAACACAUGCAAGUCGAGCGGGGUGAUGGUGCUUGCACUAUCACUUAGCGGCGGACGGGUGAGUAAUGCUUAGGAAUCUGCCUAUUAGUGGGGGACAACAUCUCGAAAGGGAUGCUAAUACCGCAUACGUCCUACGGGAGAAAGCAGGGGAUCACUUGUGACCUUGCGCUAAUAGAUGAGCCUAAGUCGGAUUAGCUAGUUGGUGGGGUAAAGGCCUACCAAGGCGACGAGCUGUAGCGGGUCUGAGAGGAUGAUCCGCCAAACUGGGACUGAGACACGGCCCAGACUCCUACGGGAGGCAGCAGUGGGGAAGAUUGGACAAUGGGGGGAACCCUGAUCCAGCCAUGCCGCGUGUGUGAAGAAGGCCUUAUGGUUGUAAAGCACUUUAAGCGAGGAGGAGGCUCUUUUGGUUAAUACCCAAGAUGAGUGGACGUUACUCGCAGAAUAAGCACCGGCUAACUCUGUGCCAGCCGCCGCCGUAA